GUCAACAGGGAAGGGUAGGGGUCGGUGUGGGGAGGGAGAAGGAAAUGGAAAAGGAAAAAGUAUGGUAACUUUGGUUAAGUAUAUAAAAUAAUAUUGAAUAAAAAUUUCACUUUGGGGGGGGGGAAACAAAUACUAUGAUCAACUAAACACUGUACAAGGUAAGAGACUAGUUAAGAGUUUUGUGUUCUUGGAAAAUAAAUUCUAUCUUAUUUGAAUCUUUGAGUGUAAGUGCUUUAUACAGAGUGCCAUACGGGAUUUGUUGAAUGACAUUAUACAGCAACCACCAUUAAGUCUUCAGCUGACUUGCCAUUACCAAAAAAGCUUAUGCUCUUCUUUCUGACAAUGUAUUUUUAAUUACUCAGCACUAUUAUGUAUCAGUCUUUAAAUGUUCUGCCUAUAUAUUCUGCGAAAAGCUUCCAAUUAUUUUGAAAGCAUUGUAUUGUUUAUUUCUAAUAACUCAAAUUACUUUAUCAAAAUCUGAAAAGUUUCAUGGUUUGGUCAACCAUGUGUUGUUUAUAGAUGGAAUAAUAUAUAAUAAUACCCAAUUGUGGUUGGGUUUUAAAUGCUAUUUAUUAAGUUAUGUCUGUAUGCAUGUACCUGUUGGCAUUGCAUAUUUGUCUUUUAUCUUGGUAGCUGCUCCGAGUCCCGUAUUGGGAGAUGGGGCGGGAUAUAAAUAAAGUUUUCUUAUUAUUGUUAUAAUUAUUAUUAUUAUGCCUGAUAGAUACCUAUCAUACCCCAAAAGGUAUGUAUUAUGUAUAUUGAAAACAUCAUUGCCAGUUCCCAAGUAUGUGGUGACUACUUCCAUGCUACAUCCAGCUCUCACCAAAACUAGGGACUUCUUUAGGACUAUCUCACAUAUUGUGGAACAAAUUGAAAUAGGCGCAAGCCACUCAUUCAGAUGGACUGCAAAUAAACUAUGACUUUCCUGCUUUCUAUUCAAUAUUAUGGAAAUUCUGCUUUUAACCUCAUCCUCAGCCUUGAUGUAUUGGAACAGUUCCAGUCUUAGUUUCACUUACCUGUUUCAGAACCAAAAGUGGUGUAAUGGAAGAUGAAGAAAAGGACUGGGAUCAGAGUUUUCCACCAACUUGCUUCCAUUUGUCAGCCAGUUCAGACUACAUAAUCCCAAGAGGACUUUGGGGAAGCAACAAUAAAGAUUCCACUGGAACAUAAAGAUGAAGGUAGAUUCCCCGCCCCUUACAUUUAAGACCUAAACUAUCUGAGGAUGCUUCUACAUCAACACUGAAAUGCAGAUGGAUUAAAACAAACCAAUUUCACUGUGCAAUGCCAACACAAACACCCCAAGAACCAGUUCAAGGCUGGGACGAUGACCACAGUAUCCCUUGGUGGUGGGUUGUAACUGAACCCAGACACUGAAACAAGCCAUCACAUUGUGUUGUUGAAAGGAAGAAAACUUCACAGAAUGCAAGUGGGACGUUAUACAGCACGAGGAAAAAUGUGCACUGAACUUCCACAAUUCCAGCAAAGAGCAAUACUGGCAGGCAGAGCAGCAACCACAACUCUCCCUUAAAGAUUAUACUCCUUUUAAUUUUUUAAUUAAAGCCUGCAGAUAUACCCCGAAAUGUAUCAGAGCAUGUGCAGAACGGAUCUGCAGCAGUGAAUCCCACACAGAGAUUCUAUCGUUACUAACCCUUUAAUAAAAUGUAUAUUUUCUUAUGA